UACGUAAGGGGGCUAGCGUUGUUCCGGAUUUACUGGGCGUAAAGCGCACGUAGGCGGAUCUUUAAGUCAGGGGUGAAAUCCCGAGGCUCAACCUCGGAACUGCCUUUGAUACUGGAGAUCUUGAGUCCGGAAGAGGUGAGUGGAACUGCGAGUGUAGAGGUGAAAUUCGUAGAUAUUCGCAAGAACACCAGUGGCGAAGGCGGCUCACUGGUCCGGUACUGACGCUGAGGUGCGAAAGCGUGGGGAGCAAACAGG
rnacentral:rRNA from 1 species